rnacentral:rRNA from 1 species
UACGGGGGGGGCAAGCGUUGUUCGGAAUUACUGGGCGUAAAGGGCGCGUAGGCGGCCUUCUAAGUCAGACGUGAAAUCCCUCGGCUCAACCGAGGAACUGCGUCUGAUACUGGAAGGCUUGAAUCCGGGAGAGGGAUGUGGAAUUCCAGGUGUAGCGGUGAUAUGCGUAGAUAUCGGGAGGAACACCAGUGGCGAAGGCGGCUCUCUGGGCCUUUCCUGACGCUGAGACGCGAAAGCGUGGGGAGCGAACCGG